rnacentral:lncRNA from 1 species
CAUCACAGACUACCUCAAACUGCCCGACUCCAACCUUCAGCACCUUCUUAGAAUACAGAAAAAAGAAAAAUGAAGAGAGGCAAAAGUUUUCUGAAGGGAGGAAGGGCUUAAAGAAAAAGGAAAAAAGAAAGGUUCAGGUAGUUUGGCUAGCUCUGUCUGAAAACAAGUUGAGGUUAAUUUUCUAAUGACAUUCUUUUGUUAUUCCUUAGGGGAGUUGUGUAAAAAAUGUUCAGUGUAGUAAAGCUAUCCAGAAUAAGAACAAUUGUUUACGAGUAAUUGUACAUUUAGGUUGUCAGGAAGAUCCCUCUUUUGCAGUUAAUAAAUAAUCAAGUUUGAAUAGAUCUGCUUAGAGUCAUAUUAGUAUCUACUUGGCCCAUUGUUCAUGUCUUUUAACUUACAGAUAAAUGUCGGCUUGAUGACCAUUAAAAAGGGUGGUUUGAAGCCAUACCGUGGAAAAACUAUUUUCCUAACAACAGACCCUGACGCUACUGCCACAAGUCUGCUCAAUCAAGCUGUUAAAAAAAUGAAGGACUUUAACAAAGAUCUAAAAGAUGGACCUUUCCUUCUUCUGUAUCCGGAUGGCACUGAGGUCAUUACUGUCCCUGGAACACAAAGACCAUUUACACUUGAGGCUUAUAAGGCUGAAGUUGGCAAGCCUUAUCAAAGAAUCACUGUUUUCAUCUGCUUGAAGAGUGACUUUGAAGAUGUUGGAGAAAACUCAGACUUGUCUGACUCUGACCCAGAGAUUGUUAUUAAAAGGCCCUCUGAGUUUGAUCUUGCUGAUACACUGCCAUGGGAACUUCAACAUGACAGCAGUCCUUUACAGAAAGCAGCAGAAUAUGAGAAGGGUGCUGGGGAUCUUGUGCUUGCUAAUGAAGUACAACAGGUAAAAAACUAUUUUAUUAGUAAAACAGUGCAGCAGACAAUCUCCACCGCCUUUACUUUGCAAUUAGAUAACGAUUCACUGUUUGCUGAGCCCCCAGAAGAACCUGUGUUAGUAAUUUAA